rnacentral:rRNA from 1 species
CAUGAAGUCGGAAUCGCUAGUAAUCGCAGAUCAGCAAAGCUGCGGUGAAUACGUUCCCGGGCCUUGUACACACCGCCCGUCACACCACGGGAGUCGGUCGCGCCUGAAGCCGGUGGCCUAUCAGUAAUGGGGGAGCCGUCUAUGGCGAGAUUGGUAACUGGGGUGAAGUCGUAACAAGGUACC